UACCUUGACCAACUUGCCUGUAUUACAAUUUUGAAGGACCGCGUUCAGUGGCGCUUCCCGCAUUUGAUUUGUUUCCCUAAACCAGAAGAAGAAGAAGCAGCAGAAGAAAAUGGUGUCGGAGGUUGUGGAGUUGUUGAAGGAGAACCUUCCGGUGACUCAGGAGCCUUUUGUUUUGUCCGGUGACGUUAACACUGGCCUCGUCCUCGUUGAUGUCGUUAAUGGCUUCUGCACCGUCGGCGCUGGAAAUUUGGCUCCGAAACAGCAUGACGAGCAAAUUUCUCAAAUGGUGGAGGAAUCGGCGAGACUCGCUAGAGUUUUCUGCGAGAAAAAGUGGCCUAUAUUCGCCUUUCUUGAUUCUCAUCGUCCUGAUAUUCCAGAGCCUCCUUAUCCUCCUCAUUGCAUUGCUGGAACCGACGAAGCCAAAUUAGUUCCAGCCUUGCAAUGGCUAGAAAAUGAGACGAAUGUAACGCUGAAAUGCAAAGACUGCAUCGAUGGAUUUGUAGGUUGUUUGGAGAAAGAUGGCUCUAAUGUUUUCGUCGAUUGGGUGAAAAACAAUCAGAUCAAAGUGAUCUUAGUGCUGGGAAUUUGCACCGACAUAUGCGUGCUGGAUUUUGUUUGUUCAACAUUAUCUGCAAGAAAUCGUGGUUUCCUUCCGCCAUUAAAGGAUGUGAUUAUAUAUUCUGGUGGCUGUGCCACUUUUGAUCUUCCAGUUUCUGUGGCCAAAAAUUUAGGAAAUGCAAUUGCUCAUCCACAGGCGCUGAUGCACCACAUAGGCCUGUACCUGGCAAGGGGAAGGGGAGCCAAGGUGGUAUCAGAAGUUUCAAUUAAGGCACUCUGAGGAAAGCCACUUAGCAAAGUAGCUGACUCGCUCUUUGCCUUCAAUAAUGUCUUUUCCAAUGCAGUUGAUUCAUUCUCUGAACGAGUACAGUGCUUCAAUUACAGCCAUUGAAACAGGACAUGAACACCGAGAACGAAGCGUCGAAGUAUGAGAAACAGUGGGAGGAGGAUGAACAAGUUCGUGAGAGAUAAUUACAGAGCCACCCAA